UAUAUAUAUAUAUGUUCCGGACCAUAUGAGUAUUUGGACCAUACGCGUAUGGUCAUGACCAUAUGCGUAUACUCAUAUGGUCCGACCAUACGCGUAUGGUCCGACCGUACGCGUAUGGUCGGACCAUUUGAGUAUAAUACUCGUUUGGUUAUUAACGGGCCGGACCAUAUGAGUAUUUGGACCAUAUAGGUAUAUUUAUUUUUCCAAAUUACAUUAUAAACGUUUCAAUAAUACAAGAACUUUAUCUAAAAAAAACAGUGAUGGUUUAAAACAUGACAAUUUUUUAAUUUUAUAAUAAAAAAAACUACGUAAAAAUUUAAUAUUGAUGCCAUAGUUAGUUUUCAUCGCUAGUUACAUUAGUGCAUGUAGGCUUGGAUGACAUUCACUUCCACACGGUAUCAUAGCUUUUUUGCAUUUGCAAGUUUUGUGCACGAUCUUUUUCAUUUACACAUUUUGUUUGCGAGUGAAAAACAAGCCUUUUUUGCAGCUGCGUACAGUGAUACCGAGGUCUUUGGCAAUUCUGAUGUCUACAGUGUUUUUAAGAAGCUCUAGAUCUCAAAUAUCGUAAAAUGGUUGACUGCAAUACACCAUCUUCACAACACAACUUAAAUAAACUAAUAGUAUGCUACUUUCCAGUGACUUCUUAUGUAACAGUUCAUUAAGAAAUUUUUGGAAUUUAAUUUUUUAGUCGACAUAUUGCCAUUUACUCGUAAUAACAAAUCGGUUAUGACCAUCGGUAAUGACCAUCGGUAUAAAAUGUGUUUACUUUAAAUUUGACAAUUAAGUAAAAUUAACAAUGUGAAACUUCUUAUUUUUAUUUAGCUUAUCUUUUUAUUAUAAUAUAACGAUAAAAUUACCUAUAUGAUAGCGUCUUUUGAAUGAACGGUCAUACCAUAUGAAGAGUUUAGAAGUAUUAAAAGUAAACUGUAACAGAGUGUUAAUUACCCCGACCAUACGCGUAUGGUCGGACCAUAUGAGUAUAUACCCAUAUGGUCAUGACCAUACGCGUAUGGUCCAAAUACUCAUAUGGUCCGGAACA
rnacentral:lncRNA from 1 species